CAAAGUGUAGCUUAACUAAAGCCCCUCGCUUACACCGAGAAAAUAUCUGUUAAACCCAGAUCACCUUGA
rnacentral:tRNA from 1 species